UGAGGAAUAUUGGUCAAUGGACGAGAGUCUGAACCAGCCAAAUCGCGUGAAGGAAGACUGCCCUACGGGCUGUAAACUUCUUUUGUACAGGAAUAAAAGACAUUACGUGUAAUGUAUUGCAUGUACUGUACGAAUAAGCAUCGGCUAACUCCGUGCCAGCAGCCGCGGUAAUACGGAGGAUGCGAGCGUUAUCCGGAUUUAUUGGGUUUAGAGGGUGCGCAGGCGGGAUUUUAAGUCAGCGGUGAAAUUUUCAGGCUCAACCUGAACACUGCCGGUGAAACUGGGAUUCUUGAGUAUGGAUGAAGUAGGCGGAAUUCGUUGUGUAGCGGUGACAUGCUUAGAUAUAACGAGGAACUCCGAUUGCGUAGGCAGCUUACUAAGCCAUAACUGACGCUCAAGCACGAAAGCGUGGGGAUCAAACA
rnacentral:rRNA from 1 species